AACGCGAAGAACCUUACCUACCCUUGAGAUCCGCGGAAUUUGAUAGAGAUAUCGAAGUGCCGAAAGGAACCGCGAGACAGGUGCUGCAUGGCUGUCGUCAGCUCGUGUUGUGAGAUGUUGGGUUAAGUCCCGUAACGAGCGCAACCCUUAUCUUUAGUUGCCAACAUGUAAUGGUGGGGACUCUAAAGAGACUGCUGGUGAUGAACCGGAGGAAGGUGGGGACGACGUCAAGUCAUCAUGGCCUUUAUGGGUAGGGCCACACACGUGCUACAAUGGGACGUACAGAGGGGAGCCAACCCGCGAGGGGGAGCCAAUCUCAGAAAACGUCUCGUAGUCCGGAUUGAAGUCUGCAACUCGACUUCAUGAAGUUGGAAUCGCUAGUAAUCGCGAAUCAGAAUGUCGCGGUGAAUACGUUCCCGGGCCUUGUACACACCGACUGUAC
rnacentral:rRNA from 1 species